UACGGGGGGAGCAAGCGUUGUUCGGAUUUACUGGGCGUAAAGAGCGCGCAGGCGGUCGUUCAAGUCGCGUGUGAAAGCCCCCGGCUCAACUGGGGAGGGUCACGCGAUACUAAUCGACUCGAAGGCAGGAGAGGGUAGUGGAAUUCCCGGUGUAGUGGUGAAAUGCGUAGGUAUCGGGAGGAACACCAGUGGCGAAGGCGACUGCCUGGCCUGUUCUUGACGCUGAGGCGCGAAAGCUAGGGGAGCAAACGGG
rnacentral:rRNA from 1 species